rnacentral:rRNA from 1 species
GAUGAACGCUGGCGGCGUGCCUAAUACAUGCAAGUCGAGCGAACGGACGAGAAGCUUGCUUCUCUGAUGUUAGCGGCGGACGGGUGAGUAACACGUGGAUAACCUACCUAUAAGACUGGGAUAACUUCGGGAAACCGGAGCUAAUACCGGAUAAUAUUUUGAACCGCAUGGUUCAAAAGUGAAAGACGGUCUUGCUGUCACUUAUAGAUGGAUCCGCGCUGCAUUAGCUAGUUGGUAAGGUAACGGCUUACCAAGGCAACGAUGCAUAGCCGACCUGAGAGGGUGAUCGGCCACACUGGAACUGAGACACGGUCCAGACUCCUACGGGAGGCAGCAGUAGGGAAUCUUCCGCAAUGGGCGAAAGCCUGACGGAGCAACGCCGCGUGAGUGAUGAAGGUCUUCGGAUCGUAAAACUCUGUUAUUAGGGAAGAACAUAUGUGUAAGUAACUGUGCACAUCUUGACGGUACCUAAUCAGAAAGCCACGGCUAACUACGUGCCAGCAGCCGCGGUAAUACGUAGGUGGCAAGCGUUAUCCGGAAUUAUUGGGCGUAAAGCGCGCGUAGGCGGUUUUUUAGUCUGAUGUGAAAGCCCACGGCUCAACCGUGGAGGGUCAUUGGAAACUGGAAAACUUGAGUGCAGAAGAGGAAAGUGGAAUUCCAUGUGUAGCGGUGAAACGCGCAGAGAUAUGGAGGAACACCAGUGGCGAAGGCGACUUUCUGGUCUGUAACUGACGCUGAUGUGCGAAAGCGUGGGGAUCAAACAGGAUUAGAUACCCUGGUAGUCCACGCCGUAAACGAUGAGUGCUAAGUGUUAGGGGGUUUCCGCCCCUUAGUGCUGCAGCUAACGCAUUAAGCACUCCGCCUGGGGAGUACGACCGCAAGGUUGAAACUCAAAGGAAUUGACGGGGACCCGCACAAGCGGUGGAGCAUGUGGUUUAAUUCGAAGCAACGCGAAGAACCUUACCAAAUCUUGACAUCCUUUGACAACUCUAGAGAUAGAGCUUUCCCCUUCGGGGGACAAAGUGACAGGUGGUGCAUGGUUGUCGUCAGCUCGUGUCGUGAGAUGUUGGGUUAAGUCCCGCAACGAGCGCAACCCUUAAGCUUAGUUGCCAUCAUUAAGUUGGGCACUCUAAGUUGACUGCCGGUGACAAACCGGAGGAAGGUGGGGAUGACGUCAAAUCAUCAUGCCCCUUAUGAUUUGGGCUACACACGUGCUACAAUGGACAAUACAAAGGGCAGCGAAACCGCGAGGUCAAGCAAAUCCCAUAAAGUUGUUCUCAGUUCGGAUUGUAGUCUGCAACUCGACUACAUGAAGCUGGAAUCGCUAGUAAUCGUAGAUCAGCAUGCUACGGUGAAUACGUUCCCGGGUCU